CUACGGGCCGCUGCAGUGGGGAAUAUUGCGCAAUGGACGAAAGUCUGACGCCGCGACGCCGCGUGAGGGACGAAGGUCUUCGGAUUGUAAACCUCUUUCAGUAGGGACGAAGCGAAAGUGACGGUACCUAAAGAAGAAGCACCGGCUAACUAUGUGCCAGCAGCCGCGGUAAUACAUAGGGUGCAAGCGUUGUCCGGAUUUAUUGGGCGUAAAGAGUUCGUAGGCGGUUUAUCGCGUCGGGUGUGAAAACUCAGGGCUUAACCCUGAGCCUGCACUCGAUACGGGUUUACUUGAGGACGGCAGGGGAGACUGGAACUCCUGGUGUAGCGGUGGAAUGCGCAGAUAUCAGGAAGAACACCAAUGGCGAAGGCAGGUCUCUGGGCCGAUUCUGACGCUGAGGAACGAAAGCGUGGGGAGCAAACAGGAUUAGAUACCCUAGUAGUC
rnacentral:rRNA from 1 species